GCCUCGUUAGCUCAAUUGGAUAGAGUCAACGGCUUCUACCCGUUCGGUUGGGGGUUCGAAUCCCUCACGGGGCA
rnacentral:tRNA from 1 species